rnacentral:rRNA from 1 species
AUCAGGUAGGACUACCCGCUGAACUUAAGCAUAUCAAUAGCCGGAGGAA